rnacentral:rRNA from 1 species
UACGGAGGGGGCUAGCGUUGUUCGGAAUUACUGGGCGUAAAGCGCGCGUAGGCGGAUCUGCAAGUCGGGGGUGAAAUCCCGAGGCUCAACCUCGGAACUGCCUUCGAUACUGCGGGUCUCGAGUCCGGGAGAGGUGAGUGGAAUUCCUAGUGUAGAGGUGAAAUUCGUAGAUAUUAGGAAGAACACCAGUGGCGAAGGCGACUUACUGGACACAUAUUGACGCUGAGGUGCGAAAGCGUGGGGAGCAAACAGG